rnacentral:tRNA from 1 species
UCCCUGGUGGCUCAGACAGUAAAGCGUCUGCCUGCAAUGCAGGAGAUCCGGGUUCAUUCCUGGGUUGGGAA